CCUACGGGAGGCUGCAGUGGGGAAUAUUGCGCAAUGGGCGCAAGCCUGACGCAGCGACGCCGCGUGAGGGAUGAAGGUCUUAGGAUCGUUAACCUCUGUCAGUAGGGAAGUACGGUCACUGUGCUAAUUCGCCGUGAAUUGACGGUACCUGCAAAGGAAGCACCGGCUAACUCCGUGCCCGCAGCCGCGGGAAUACGGAGGGUGCGAGCGUUAAUCGGAAUUACUGGGCGUAAAGCGCUCGUAGGCGGUAUGUCAAGUCAAGGGUGAAGUCCCCGCGCUCAACGUGGGAACUGCCUUUGAAACUGGCAAACUGGAGUGUGUGAGAGGAUAGUGGAAUUCCAGGUGUAGGAGUGAAAUCCGUAGAGAUCAGGAGGAACAUCAGUGGCGAAGGCGACUAUCUGGCACAUAACUGACGCUGAGGAGCGAAAGCGUGGGUAGCAAACAGGAUUAGAUACCCGAGUAGUC
rnacentral:rRNA from 1 species